rnacentral:rRNA from 1 species
GGCGCAUUAGCUAGUUGGUGAGGUAACGGCUCACUAAGGCGAUGAUGCGUAGCCGACCUGAGCAGGGUAAUCGGCCACAUUGGGACUGAGACACGGCCCAGACUCCUACGGGAGGCAGCAGUAGGGAAUCUUCCACAAUGGACGCAAGUCUGAUGGAGCAACGCCGCGUGAGUGAAGAAGGGUUUCGGCUCGUAAAGCUCUGUUGUUAAAGAAGAACGUGGGUGAGAGUAACUGUUCACCCAGUGACGGUAUUUAACCAGAAAGCCACGGCUAACUACGUGCCAGCAGCCGCGGUAAUACGUAGGUGGCAAGCGUUAUCCGGAUUUAUUGGGCGUAAAGCGAGCGCAGGCGGUCUUUUAAGUCUAGUGUGACAGCCUUCGGCUCAACCGAAGAAGUGCAUUGGAAACUGGGAGACUUGAGUGCAGAAGGAGACAGUGGAACUCCAUGUGUAGCGGUGAAAUGCGUAGAUAUUUGGAAGGACACAGUGGCCAAGGCGCGUUGU